GCCAGGUGUGGUGGCUCACGCCUGUAAUCCCAGUACUUCGGGAGGCUGAGGCAGGUGGAUCACCUGAGGUCAGGAGUUUGAGACCAGCCUGGCCAACAUGGUGAAACCCUGUCUCUA
ensembl:misc_RNA Metazoa_SRP Metazoan signal recognition particle RNA